UGCCACCAAAGACGUGACUUUACAGUUAGCGAUUUAGCCGACCUACAUGGUGUGAAGUGAGAGAAUAUCCACCGUUGAAUGUCAGAGCAUGGUAUAAGAGUUUCUGACCUGAAUAAUUCCACUGACAUCGCAACGUCGGAUGCUGGAUGAUUACAGAGAUCCCAGGAUCUCCUCAAAAUUCUGGGUUCAAAAUGAUGCAAGGACAAAUGUUCAAAACUUCGUGUGCAAGAAUCCAUGUGACGUCUGGAUCCACCGGGAAUUGUCCGCACACUACAACUACAAACUGUUCGGCGUAGAAGGUAUUCUGUGCCAGCCCCCAACAGCCAAAGGCAUAUAAAUGGCAACCAUAAACUCAUGAAUUAAGGCUCUAUGUUGGGGAACUAGGAAGCAAGUACAAAAAUAAAUUAAGACCAUAUUUUUUUCACCGAUUUUGGAAAGGUAAACCCGUAUAUAAUAUAAACCAUUUUAAAUUAAGUUUAAAUAUUUCAUGCUUUUAUUUUUUAUUAUGCGCUAGGAAUCAAUUUUGAUUGGGAGUGCUUUUACUGCCAGCCUCUCCCAGUCAAAAUGGUUUGUGUGUCAAGCGCUGUCAAUGGCAGCCAAUGAGUUAAAUGUUGAUGUUUAUGGCUUGCAAAAAAAAAAAAACCCUCAAGUUUCGUGUCGCGGAAAAAAAAAAAAAAAAAAAUUAGAAACAUUUUUUGGGCCUUGCAACACAUCUUCUCUUAUUGCAGAAAUGUUGGUAUAGUUUUAGUUGACAUUUCUGGGAGAUGAUUGGAUGAAAUGUCACCCAUCGAAAUCAAAUCAUGAGGUUUGGCAUGCCCUCUUUGCUUGUUGGCUCUUUGAAAAUGGUUUAACAAGAGCAACUUCAAAAAGGAUCAUGUAAAGUGCAUGUUUCUCACACAUAACAUUAAAAAUAACCAAUAAAAGCAUGAAAUAUCCUCCGACCAAAAUAUUACACUUUGUUCUGGUACUUGAGUAAAAAUGAGCUUUUUUUUUUUUUUUUCACCCAGCAGAAAAAAAUGCACGACUGAACGGGUUAAGUCUGUGUCAAAAAUUCAGAACUUCCACUUUUAGGUUAUGUGUAAAACGACCUAAAAGUAACAACUGAGUGUCACUCUUUCCAUUUUGCAGUCUUGUCCAUUGUCCUCAACCAUUUUUUCCCCUUCUUAAUAAAAUUAUAUAAAUAAACACUUUCACAGUCUAGGCACAUAUAGGUUAAGCUAAUCAAUAAAUUUGCCAUAAAGGAUGUGUGCAUGUUUAGUUAUAUUUCAGGACUAGUUGGUUCAACUUUACAUGACAUAUUUGGAGUUUUAUGUGAUGGUCCACAUGGUCAUCACCCCCAUGUAGGUGUCAGUCCCUGAAGUGCAGCUGCAACAAGCCUAGACUCCUGAAGAAAUUCAGCAGAUGUCAGAAUUUUCUAAUUUAUUGAAUGUCUACAGCGAGACUAUCCAUCCUGCAUCAGAUAUUUGGACUUGUUUGAAAUGACAGCAUAGCAUGUUUGUUGUGGUACCUCACCAAUGUGCAGAAAUAAUAAAGGCAAUGAUUGUUUUUCUGCUACCGUAUUUUUCGGACUACAAGUCGCACCUGAGUAUAAGUCGCACAAGGCAUAAAAUGCCCAACAAAGAGAAAAAAAACAUAUAUAAGUCACACCGGAGUAUAAGUCGCAUUUUUGGGGGAAAUUUACUUGAUAAAAUCCAACACAUAGAACAGAUAUGUCAUCUUGAAAGGCAAUAUAAUAUAAAAAUACAAUAGAGAACAACAUGCUGAAUAAAUGUACAGUGUACAGUGCAUGAACAGCAAAAUGCGAAUAUACUGUCCUCACCAGGACGCUACCGCUCGGUCCUGGCUAUAUACAGCGAACUCCAAAAAGACAAUGCUGGACGUCCGCAUAAUUUGCUGAAUCAAUUUGGUCCUCGAUAGCAAACAGGUUCGCAUCAACGUAAAUAAAUGAUAAUUAGUUACUAUUACAGCAAUAACGUAACAGGUUAGCAUGCGUUCGCUAGCAUUAGCACACCGUUCAAACAACCACACAACUGGCUCUAAGUGUCCGAUCGCGGGUGGAAAACACACAACAACAACAGAAAAGAUGAUACAUGCAGGCGUUGCCUCUGUAGAGAUAUUUUAAAAGCAUAAACAAUGAACGUAGGUUCGCAGCCGUCUUUCUCUCUCGCUAACUCGCCCACCCACUCACUCAGAGCUACGUAGCUGUCCGUCUUCUUCUGGCGUGCGAGCGCUCUUCUUCACGUAAACAAGUGCGAGUGCGCUCCCACGUGGGCGUGAAAGCGCCACAAACUAAAUGCAUCCAUUUCAAUAUAAAAAAGUCAAUAAUAUAAUUGAAAAUACAUUGCCAAAGGCAGAACGCGAACGUGGCCAUAGCUAUUAAGAGUUAUUAAGAUUAACUAUAGCAUGCUAACAAGUUUACAAAACCAUCAGUCCAAAACACCAAAAUAACAUGUGAAAUUAUAUCAUAAUGUGUUAAUAAUUUCACACAUUAGUCGCUCCUGAGUAUAAGUCGCACCCCCAACCAAAAUAUGAAAAAAAACGCGACUUAUAGUCCAAAAAAUACGGUAAGUAACAUUUUAUUGAUGACCAUUGUAAUACAAUACACAUAAUAAACAGGCAAUUGAUCUACAAAAAAGGACUUCCAGCACAACUAACUCGUUCAUCAAUGCAAAAAAAAAAAAAAAAAAACCUGUCCGCUGGACACCAACAUGAGCCACUUAAGGUCAGUAACUUUCUCCCCUAAAACUGGCCAGCUGCUCACCAUCAGCAUCCCCUGAAAUGUAAAUUGUCUUCGGGGAGCUUUAGGGUUAAAAAGCACGUAGAUGAGUGAGGACGAGAGAUGUCUGUUAUUGUUGAGGAACGACACCCCAAUCUUUCUCGGAAGUAUCUAGAAGAAAAUAGAUGACAACACAAGGCAAAAUGGUAUUUAAAAAAAAAUAGCUACGGAAGCAUUAGACGAGACACCAGCCGGUGCUUUCUACCUGAGCCCUUAAGAGCGUAAACACGAACUUGAAUGUGUAAAUUUCGCUUCACUAAUAUGCACUAACGCCAAACUAUUCCUUGUGAGUUUAAUAUUGUUAGCAAAUUUAUCCGUGUCCCGCCUUGCCUCCCCUUCCUGAGACCCAAUGCGAGGUAUUAGCUUAUUAAAAAUGAUAUAGAUUCAACAUACCUCAACUGGAUUUAAGUAAAAAGUAAAAAAAAAAAAAACACACCAAAUUAAGUAAAAAAUUAAAAAACACACCAAAUUAAAUAAAUACGUACCUUGUCCUCAUCCAACUGAUUGCCAGCUUCCCGUUCCCGUAGCGGCUUGGACGCCGACCUUCUCGUCGAGUCCCAUUAUUUUACGAAGCUAGCAACAAGCAGCCAGGCAGGCCAGCAGGCAAAGUCGAUCGAGAGGAUCGCUGCACCAGCGUGUUGAUCGACCAAUGGGUGAAUAGUUCAACACAUGUAGGACCGCCCCCUCAUUUGAAUAGUAUUUCCACUUGCACGUUCGUGCUGACAAUGAAAUAAGUAAAUAUAAGGCAAAGCACUUUUAUUUAUUGAUUGACAUUUAUUUCAAUCAAUAUAUUUAUUUUUGUAUUUUUUUCCACAUUUAUUUUUGUAUUUAUUCUUACAUUUUUAAUGUAAUUUCUUAUUUUUGUAUAUAUAUAUUCAUUUUUAUUUCUACUUUUAUUUAAUUAGCUAUUUAUUUCCAUAUUUAUUUUUGUAAUUAUAUUUAAUUUUUGUACCCUAUUUCUUAUUUUUGUAUUUAUAUUCGUUUUUAUUUUUCCUUUUAUUGACUGAUUUAUUUUUAUUUUUAAUUUUGGCAGCUUUGGUCCUCCAUAAAAGUUGGCCGGAACGGUCCGGAAAGCCGUUCUGGUCUAAGAUUCAAGGCAGGAACCCUAUUCCAGUAUUCGAUGCUUUGAUCCCGAAAAUAUGACGCCAUGUGUAAAAAAAAAUUGCAAGGCAUCAACACACCAACUCAUCUCCAAGAAGAAAACAAUCUACCAACAUCAGAUUAACAUACACAAGUGUUAACAACAAGCAUAAUAAAGUGCUUGUGUAGCGUAAUCCGUUUCCAUCAAUAUUUAUUAUUUAUUUACUCCACGGACGGCACGGAGGUUCCCCCCAGCUGCUGCAGUUAUCCAAGUACCACACAAAUGCUCUUUUUAGAACAUGACGUCGCCAUCAUAACGCUGAAGUGGGACUUUAUAGAUGCGCCCGCUCAUACAAACCAUGUUAUUUCUGCUUGUUUUCCCCGGUAAUCUUUCAAAAAAGAACAUGCCGAUCAAACACUGCUGCUAUUGAACUGGUAGAAACAUCUGUAGACAUUACGACAUAUGAAGGAUGUUUUCUUCAUACGUUUCCCGAAACCAAAAACUCGGAGAAAAUAAUGUGAAGAAUGGAUAAAUUUGCGCGGACAUCCAAAAGACCAGUUUAAGGCCAGCAAGGUGAAGCCAUUCACAUUUCAUGUGCAGUAAAUAUUUUGUUGAGGGCCAUGGUCCUUCAGAGGAUGAAGAGGUAAGCCAUUUUGAUAUUUUUACUUAUUUUUUAGCGUGGCAUUUUGCCAUGCUGCUUUUGUCUGACAAUGAAUGACCUGGAAAAAAAUUUAAAUGGUAUCUGACUGACACUGUUACCUUUUCUGUUAUAAAAAAAACAAAAAAACAACAACUUUAGUGAGGGAGAAGUGUAAAUAAAUUAUAGAAUUAAGAUUUGUUAUUAAAGAAAAAAUUAAAAGUGUAUGUAUGUUACUUAUAUCGU